UGACGGACUUCUGGAGAGACCUACUAGGCGCCGAAGGGGCAAGGCUGUUUGCUCAAACUCUCAGGCAAAAGGACAGAAAAGAAAAA
rfam:Streptococcus mutans TA159, complete genome.